AACUUCUUAAGAGUGUUUUGAAAACACUAAAGAGGCAAAGCCUAGAAGUUU
rnacentral:tRNA from 1 species